UUGGAGGGCAAGUCUGGUGCCAGCAGCUGCGGUAAUUCCAGCUCCAAUAGCGUAUAUUAAAGUUGUUGCAGUUAAAAAGCUCGUAGUUGAAUUUCGGGAUUGACGUGAUGGCCACGCCUUAAGGGGUAUGAACUGUUGCUGUUGAUUUCUCACCUUCUGGAGAAACUUGAUGUCCUUAAUUGGGUGUCUUGCGGAUCCAGGACCUUUACCUUGAAAAAAUUAGAGUGUUUAAAGCAGGCAUUUUUGCUCGAAUACAUUAGCAUGGAAUAAUAGAAUAGGACGGCAUGGUUCUAUUUUGUUGGUUUCUAGGAUCACCGUAAUGAUUAAUAGGGAUAGUUGGGGGCAUUAGUAUUCAAUUGUCAGAGGUGAAAUUCUUGGAUUUAUUGAAGACUAACUACUGCGAAAGCAUUUGCCAAGGAUGUUUUCAUUAAUCAAGAACGAAAGUUAGGGGAUCGAAGACGAUCAGAUACCGUCGUAGUCUUAACCAUAAACUAUGCCGACUAGGAAUCAGACGAUGUUAAUUUUUUAAUGACUCGUUCGGCGCCUUACGGGAAAC
rnacentral:rRNA from 1 species